rnacentral:siRNA from 1 species
GUUCGGCUCAUAUGGUACAUUCC